UACGUAGGGAGCAAGCGUUGUCCGGAAUCAUUGGGCGUAAAGCGCGCGUAGGUGGCUUCGUAAGUCCGUUGUGAAAGUCAAAGGCUCAACCUUUGAAAGCCGAUGGAUACUGCGGAGCUAGAGUACGGAAGAGGCGAGUGGAAUUCCUGGUGUAGCGGUGGAAUGCGCAGAUAUCAGGAGGAACACCAAUAGCGAAGGCAGCUCGCUGGGACGUUACUGACACUGGAGGCGCGAAAGCGUGGGAGCGAACAGG
rnacentral:rRNA from 1 species